AGAACAGCUGCCCAUUGUAUUGAAUAUGCCCAUUUAAUCAAAUGGGAUGAGGUGCAUAGUGGGAAAGCAUUUGAUCCUGAUGAUCCCGAGCAUAUGCAGUGGGUCUACUCAGAGGCUGUCAUGAGAGCCAAACUUUUUGAUAUACCGGGAGUUACUUAUUCUCUGACUCAGGGUGUUGUGAAGAACAUUAUUCCAGCUAUUGCUUCUACAAAUGCAAUUGUAUCUGCCGCCUGUGCUUUGGAAGCGUUAAAGAUUGUAUCUGGA
rnacentral:misc_RNA from 1 species